GGAAGUAAAGGUCGUAACAAGGUUUCCGUAGGUGAACCUGCGGAAGGAUCAUUACAGAGUUCAUGCCCUCACGGGUAGAUCUCCCACCCUUGAAUAUUUAUACCUUAGUUGCUUUGGCAGGCCGUGGAAACACCAUGGGCUCCGGCUUAUGCGUGCCUGCCAGAGGAAACAAACUCUGUUUUUAGUGAUGUCUGAGUACUAUAUAAUAGUUAAAACUUUCAACAACGGAUCUCUUGGUUCUG
rnacentral:misc_RNA from 1 species